GUGUUGCUCUAGUGACCAGUUUGUGACCUCCUGGGUUUCCCUUUGUCAUCCUAUGCCUGCAGUUCCUGAUGAGGCUGGGACAGCAAAGGGAGGUUCAGAUGUCGACCUGUACUACAGUCAAUAC
rnacentral:pre_miRNA from 1 species